CCUACGGGGGGCAGCAGUGGGGGAUAUUGCACAAUGGGGGAAACCCUGAUGCAGCGACGCCGCGUGUGGGAAGACGGUCCUCUGGAUUGUAAACCACUUUUCUCAGGGACGAAGAUGACGGUACCUGGGGAGGAAGCUCCGGCAAACUACGUGCCAGCAGCCGCGGUAAUACGUAGGGAGCAAGCGUUGUCCGGAAUUACGGGGUGUAAAGGGAGCGUAGGCGGGUUGGCAAGUUGGGGGUUAAAUCUACCGGCUCAACUGGUAGUCGCACUCGAAACUGCUAUUCUUGAGUGAAGUAGAGGCAGGCGGAAUUCCUAGUGUAGCGGUGAAAUGCGUAGAUAUUAGGAGGAACACCAGUGGCGAAGGCGGCCUGCUGGGCUUUUACUGACGCUGAGGCUCGAAAGUGUGGGGAGCGAACAGGAUUAGAUACCCGUGUAGUC
rnacentral:rRNA from 1 species